AUUGAACGCUGGCGGCAUGCCUUACACAUGCAAGUCGAACGGCAGCACGGGAGCAAUCCUGGUGGCGAGUGGCGAACGGGUGAGUAAUAUAUCGGAACAUGCCCAGUAGUGGGGGAUAGCCCGGCGAAAGCCGGAUUAAUACCGCAUGAGACCUGAGGGUGAAAGCGGGGGAUCGCAAGACCUCGCGCUAUUGGAGCGGCCGAUAUCAGAUUAGCUAGUUGGUGGGGUAAAGGCCUACCAAGGCAACGAUCUGUAGUUGGCCUGAGAGGACGACCAGCCACACUGGGACUGAGACACGGCCCAGACUCCUACGGGAGGCAGCAGUGGGGAAUUUUGGACAAUGGGCGCAAGCCUGAUCCAGCAAUGCCGCGUGCAGGAAGAAGGCCUUCGGGUUGUAAACUGCUUUUGUCAGGGAAGAAAUCCCUUGGGAUAAUACCUCGGGGGGAUGACGGUACCUGAAGAAUAAGCACCGGCUAACUACGUGCCAGCAGCCGCAGUAAGAC
rnacentral:rRNA from 1 species